rnacentral:tRNA from 1 species
GGCGAGGUAGCCAAGCGGUCUAAGGCGCUAGACUAAGGUAAUCUAGUUCUUCGGAGCGUGGGUUCGAAUCCCACCCUCGUCA